rnacentral:rRNA from 1 species
AGAACGAACGCUGGCGGCGUGGAUAAGACAUGCAAGUCGAACGGGGAAUCUUUAGAGCUUGCUUUGAAGAUUUCUAGUGGCGAACGGGUGAGUAACACGUGAGUUACCUGCCCCGAAGCGGGGGAUAACCCGAAGAAAUUCGGACUAAUACCCCAUGUGAUCGCAAGAUUAAAGGCGGCGUAAGCUGUCGCUUCGGGAUGGGCUUGCGGCCUAUCAGCUUGUUGGUGAGGUAAUGGCUCACCAAGGCUAUGACGGGUAGCUGAUCUGAGAGGAUGAUCAGUCACACUGGAACUGAGACACGGUCCAGACACCUACGGGUGGCAGCAGUCGAGAAUCAUUCGCAAUGGGCGCAAGCCUGACGGUGCGACGCCGCGUGGAGGAUGAAGGCCCUAGGGUCGUAAACUCCUAGUCAAUCAGGGAGUAAUGGCUCAUGUAGUAACUGACAAUGGGCUUUGAUAGUACCUGAAGAGGAAGGACGACGAAAACUUCGACGACCG